rnacentral:rRNA from 1 species
UACGAAGGGGGCUAGCGUUGCUCGGAAUCACUGGGCGUAAAGCGCACGUAGGCGGGUUCUUAAGUCGGUGGUGAAAUCCUGGAGCUCAACUCCAGAACUGCCUCCGAUACUGAGAGCCUCGAGUCCGGGAGAGGUGAGUGGAACUGCGAGUGUAGAGGUGAAAUUCGUAGAUAUUCGCAAGAACACCAGUGGCGAAGGCGGCUCACUGGCCCGAUACUGACGCUGAGGUGCGAAAGCGUGGGGAGCAAACAGG